ACGGAGCAACGCCGCGUGAGUCAUGAAGGUUUUCGGAUCGUAAAGCUCUGUUGCCAGGGAAGAACGUCCGGCAGAGUAACUGCUAUCGGAGUGACGGUACCUGAGAAGAAAGCCCCGGCUAACUACGUGCCAGCAGCCGCGGUAAUACGUAGGGGGCAAGCGUUGUCCGGAAUUAUUGGGCGUAAAGCGCGCGCAGGCGG
rnacentral:rRNA from 1 species